UACGUAGGGUGCGAGCGUUAAUCGGAAUUACUGGGCGUAAAGCGUGCGCAGGCGGUUUUGUAAGCCAGAUGUGAAAUCCCCGGGCUUAACCUGGGAAUGGCAUUUGGGACUGCAAGGCUCGAGUGCGGCAGAGGAGACUGGAAUUCCUGGUGUAGCAGUGAAAUGCGCAGAUAUCAGGAGGAACACCGAUGGCGAAGGCAGGUCUCUGGGCAUUAACUGACGCUGAGGAGCGAAAGCAUGGGGAGCGAACAGGA
rnacentral:rRNA from 1 species